GAGUGCGGGGGGGACCUCCAGCCCCCCGGGGGGUCCCUGCGCCUCCUCUGCCGAGGGGCCGGGUUCGAUUUUGGGAAUUAUGGAAUGAUCUGGAUCCGCCAGAGACCCGGGCAGGCGUCAGAAUUCGUCUCUGGGAUCAAUCCUGAUGGUGUCAACACCUACUACGCGCCGUCGGUCAAGGAUCGCGUCACGAUCUCCCGGGACAACGGGCAGAGCUCGGUGACGCUGACCAUGAACAACCUCAAGGACGAGGAUUCCGGAUCCUAUUUCUGUGCCAAGCGUAUUUCUGGUGGUAAUGCUGACACUCUCCCAGAGAGGAUUGCAGCCCAGCCCCGAGGAGCAGCCCCAGACACCGCGGCCGUGAGGGAGCAGUGA